AAGAUGCUAGUAACAAAGAUUACACUGCCUUGUCGAGACAGAAUUGUGGGUUAAAGUCCCGCGCAUCUUA
rnacentral:tRNA from 1 species